rnacentral:rRNA from 1 species
CGCCUGUUUUUAUCAAAAACAUGGCUCUCUGUAUACUAAAGAUAGAGAGUCGGACCUGCCCGGUGAAUUUUUUAACGGCCGCGGUACUUUGACCGUGCAAAGGUAGAAUAAUCAUUUGCCUUAUAAUUGAAGGCUAGAAUGAAUGGUUUGACAAGAAUACAGCUGUCUCUUUACAAUUACAUAAAAUUUUAUCUGCAGCUGAAGAAGCCUGCAUUUGAAUAAAAGACAAGAAGACCCUAUCGAGCUUAAAAAAAACCAGUAGAAUAACAAAUAAUUCUUGACUUAUAAAUAAAUAAAUAGUCAACUACUGGAAACUUUGGUUGGGGCGACCAGGGAACAAAGAAAACUUCCUUUAUAAAAUUUAGAUAUGCAAGUGUUGAUCCAGUGUUAUUUGAUUAAAGAAAUUAGUUACCGUAGGGAUAACAGCAUUAUCCUUUUUAAGAGUUCCUAUCGAAAGAAGGGUUUGUGACCUCGAUGUUGGACCAGAAUAUCCUAAAGAUGCAGCCGUCUUUAAGGGUUGGUCUGUUCGACCAUUAAAAUUCUACGUGAUCUGAGUUCAGACCGGA